ensembl:misc_RNA Metazoa_SRP Metazoan signal recognition particle RNA
GCUGGGUGUGGUGGUGCGCACCUGUAAUUCCAGCUACUCAGGAGGCUGAGGCAGGAGGAUCACUUGAGCCCAGGAGUUUGAAGCUGCAGUGAGUCAUGUUCACACCACUGCACUCCAGCCUGGGCAACAGAGUGAGACCCUAUCUCAA